GACGAACGCUGGCGGCGUGCUUAACACAUGCAAGUCGAACGGAAAGGCCCUGCUUGCCGGGUACUCGAGUGGCGAACGGGUGAGUAACACGUGGGUGAUCUGCCCUGCACUUCGGGAUAAGCCUGGGAAACUGGGUCUAAUACAGGAUAGGAGCCAUUUUUAGUGUGAUGGUUGGAAAGUUUUUUCGGUGUAGGAUGAGCUCGCGGCCUAUCAGCUUGUUGGUGGGGUAAUGGCCUACCAAGGCGGCGACGGGUAGCCGGCCUGAGAGGGUGGACGGCCACAUUGGGACUGAGAUACGGCCCAGACUCCUACGGGAGGCAGCAGUGGGGAAUAUUGCACAAUGGGCGCAAGCCUGAUGCAGCGACGCCGCGGGGGGGAUGACGGCCUUCGGGUUGUAAACUCGUUUCGCUAGGGACGAAGCUUUGUGUGACGGUACCUAGAGAAGAAGCACCGGCUAACUACGUG
rnacentral:rRNA from 1 species